AUUCUGCCAGGAAUCCAGCUGACCGAAUUACCCACACUUGCCCACCUUAGGCCUUCAUUCGCAGCAGGCAUGUGUGCCUGGGUUUGUUACCAGCAGCCAUUUUCUCACCCUUAAAUGACGGAUGGGUCUCCCCUUUUCUUUUUCUCAUUUUCCUAGAGGUUAUAAGAUUCCUGUUUUUCUCACCAGGAAGAGAGGUCAGCCUCAGUGAGCUCAUAGCAGUCAUACAUUGCCAGUGUUUUUCCUCAAGUGGAAGGAGAAAGGCCUUCAGAAAAAAAAUCGUAUGCAAACCUAGUGCUACCACCAGCAGCAGCUCUGAAUCGAGAUUUUUGGGACAAUUCGGCUUACUGAAGAUAAACUACAAUAAGUCUCAAGGAGGCAAAUAAUUCUGAUUCCAAUGAGGAAUCCAAGAAUAAAGGCAGCUCUUAAGGUACGGACGUGAACUGUCUGUGGGUGACUUGCCUGGAUGCCGGCUAUAGCUGCAGCCCCCAAAGUCGAAGCUACCAGAACAGAUUGGAUGAGGAUGGCCCAAAGAUUAUGGAGUUGCUGGCCCCAAAGCAAGUCAGACACUAUGGGAAGUUUGCAUGAAUCA
rnacentral:antisense_RNA from 1 species